rnacentral:lncRNA from 1 species
AAAACAUUUAAAAUCAAUUUUUUUUUGCAAAUUUGAAACACACCAUGCAUUAUUAUAAACUACAGUCAUCAGGCUAUGCAAUGCUUCACUAAAACUUGUUCUUUUUGUCUGACUGACACUGUGGACCUAUUGACCAGUGUCUCCCCAGUCCCCAUUCUGCUCCCCACAGCCACAGCCCCUGGUAACCACCCUCCUACUCCCGGCUUCUACGAGUUCGGCACUUUCAGAUUCCACACCCAGAAAACUCCGACUCCACCAACACGAAUUAGAAGUGGCAGUCAGAGGACAUUGCUAUGAGAGGAAGGAGUUCGAGGAGCAGAGAUUAUCCCAGCCUGAAUGUGCCCUUCGUUGAUUUCAUGAUGUUGCGGAGGCAGAAGCCUGAGGUCAAAGUGUGGCAAUCACGCCCUCCUGGCUGCUGGGCUGCCAGAGUCCUCGCGUUCCUGACUGCAGCUGCACCACUUCCAUCUCUGUCUCCAUUAUCCCCUGUCCAUCUUCCCUCUGCCUGUGUCACUUCUCUUCCUAUAAGGACACUCGUCAUGUUGGAUUAAG